GAUGAAGAACGUAGCGAAAUGCGAUAAGUAAUGCGAAUUGCAGAAUUCAGUGAAUCAUCGAAUCUUUGAACGCACAUUGCGCCCGCUAGUAUUCUGGCGGGCAUGCCUGUCUGAGCGUCAUUUCAACCCUCGCCCCCGGCUUUUGCUGGGAGCGGUGUUGGGGAUCGGCCGCCCGUCACUGGGAGGCCGGCCCCGAAAUAGAGUGGCGACCACGCCGUGUGCUCCUCUGCGUAGUAGUAAAUCACCUCGCAGGCGGACAGCGGUGCGGCCUGCAGUAAAACCCCCAACUCUUUCUGGUUGACCUCAGAUCAGGUAGGAAUACCCGCUGAACUUAAGCAUAUCAAUAAGCGGAGGA
rnacentral:misc_RNA from 1 species